rnacentral:tRNA from 1 species
GCCGAACUGGCGGAAUUGGUAGACGCGCACGUUUGAGGGGCGUGUGGGGUAACCCGUGCCGGUUCGAGUCCGGCGUUCGGCACCA